rnacentral:rRNA from 1 species
CGAAAGCCUGACGCAGCGACGCCGCGUGGAGGAUGAAGGUCUUCGGAUUGUAAACUCCUGUCAGAGGUGAAGAAAGCCCUUUUGGGUCUGACGGUAACCUCAGAGGAAGCCCCGGCUAACUACGUGCCAGCAGCCGCGGUAAUACGGAGGAGGCAAGCGUUAUCCGGAAUUAUUGGGCGUAAAGCGUCCGCAGGUGGCGAUUCAAGUCUGCUGUCAAAGCACGGGGCUUAACUCCGUUAAGGCAGUGGAAACUGAAUGGCUAGAGUGCCGUAGGGGUAGAGGGAAUUCCCGGUGUAGCGGUGAAAUGCGUAGAGAUCGGGAAGAACAUCGGUGGCGAAAGCGCUCUACUGGACGGCAACUGACACUCAGGGACGAAAGCUAGGGGAGCG